AUGGCCGAUCUCCACCUCCUCCACCCGCCGGAGCCCGACACCAACGGCGGCGGGGCCGCCGCCUCCGCCUCCGCCGCCGCGCUGCUCCUCCCCGCCGACCCCGCGGCCGAGGCGGCGGCGGCCGCGGCCGCGCCGGACCCCCCCGCGCCCCCCUACUCCAAGCGCCGCCGCCGCCCCAGCGUCCGCCUCGGCGACAUUGGCGCGCAGGCCACGGCCUCCGACGCGCAGCUCCCGCGCCGCCACCGCAAGCCGUCCUCCCACCCGCGCCCCCCGCGCCGCUCCCACCCGGACGACGCCCUCGACCCCGCCGCCCGCGCCCGCGGGCCCAAGCCCGGCCAGCGCCGCCCGCGCACGGCCUGGAUCCCGGCGCCCCACGGCGGCGCCGACGGCUACGAGGACGAGGAGGGCCACCACCACUACUACGACGACGCCGACCAGUCCGACUCCGCCGCCGCCGCCGCCCGGGCCGCUAGGGUUUCGGGCAGCCGCGAGGCCAGCGUCGACGAGUCCGACGGCGUCGCCGACUGGGGCCUCCCCAACGGCGGCGCGGCCUGCUACGGCGGCGGCGGCGGCGUCAGGGCCUGGCUCGACGGGCUCGGCCUCUCCCGGUACGCCCCCGUGUUCGAGAUCCACGAGGUGGACGACGAGGUGCUCCCGCUGCUCACCCUGGAGGACCUCAAGGACAUGGGCAUCGGCGCCGUCGGCUCCAGGAGGAAGAUGUUCGCCGCCAUCCAGAAGCUCCGCAGCGGCGACACCGUGUCCUGA
rnacentral:rRNA from 1 species